rnacentral:tRNA from 2 species
AGAGUGUUAAGUUAUAGUAGACUGUAGUAUUUCAAGUACUGAAGAGGGAUUACCACACUUUG